rnacentral:lncRNA from 1 species
UGGAUGAAAAAAAUGAUGCUGCUUAACUGCAAAGUGUGAGCACCUGGAGCAAGGAAGAGGCCUGUUGAUGAGCAGUCCUACACAGGUGUGUGUGUGUGCUCUGGUAAAUAAAGGGGGGCAUUGCAGCUCACUUGGACUGAUGGUGAGGGCAACAUCAGCUACACACAGUGAUGUUAUUCCAGUAUCAUCAUGAAACCAUAUGAGCUCCUAGAGAGAACGCAAUGCCUGCGUGACCACCUUCAGUAUGGAUUAAGAGGAACAUCUCCCUUUACCACUGCACCCUGACAAAUGUUUGGUUCCACAUCAGCAUCAAUGUCUCUGUGGCUAUUGCGGCAGUUGAGAUGGGACAGUUCACCUCACAAUCACACCCCAGCAGUUCAGAAACUAUCCGAGGGUAUCACAAACCUUUUAAAAUGA